rnacentral:rRNA from 1 species
GUAGUCCACGCCGUCAACGAUGUCUACUUGGAGGUUGUGGCCUUGAGCCGUGGCUUUCGGAGCUAACGCGUUAAGUAGACCGCCUGGGGAGUACGGUCGCAAGAUUAAAACUCAAAUGAAUUGACGGGGGCCCGCACAAGCGGUGGAGCAUGUGGUUUAAUUCGAUGCAACGCGAAGAACCUUACCUACUCUUGACAUCCUCAGAAGAGACUGGAGACAGUCUUGUGCCUUCGGGAACUGAGAGACAGGUGCUGCAUGGCUGUCGUCAGCUCGUGUUGUGAAAUGUUGGGUUAAGUCCCGCAACGAGCGCAACCCUUAUCCUUGUUUGCCAGCGAGUAAAGUCGGGAACUCCAGUGAGACUGCCGGUGAUAAACCGGA